CAGGUAUUCUCCUAAACUUCUGUGUUGUUUUCCUCACACUCCUCAGGCCGUGUAUUUCUUGCAUUUCUCGGCAAUCAUUAGUAUAUAUUUGUAUUAGAUUGCUCGUAGAACCAUAAUCUAGACCAGAGUUGGAAUACUUGGUUGAGUCCACUUGGACUCAUCUGAAUCACUUGCGCUUGGACAGUAGUAUCCAGUCCAGUGUUGGAGUACUCGAUUGAGUCCACUUGGACACUUGUGAAUCACUCGGGCUCAGACCUGCCGCUGGGCCCAAAAUUAAUCAUACGGGCAGUGUUACCCUGACAUUUAGAUGGAGCUUGGUGUAGCACGUUGACACUUGCAGACACUAACCUCACACGUGAUUAUAUAUGUUGGGUGACAUUAUCAAUUAUGAGAUUGAUGUGGACACUUUAAAUAUAAGUGUCUUUCUUUUUAUAUCAUAAAAUUGUAGGGAACCUAGUAGAGCAUGUGUUUAUCUUCACCAAGGUUGUGGUUCUUAUUCCCACGGCUAGCAAUCUUUUUCCUUUUUAUUUUUGCCGCAAAGUUUUGAUUGUAAAAAUGCUUAAUAACACUAAGUGCACAUAGCAAGAAUGGAAUCUCCUCCAACUGCCCUUCAGUGCGUCACUUCUACCAUCACGCAAUUACUAGUUUCAUGAAAUGAAAAGAAAGAUCGAAUUAUAUACUGUUAAAAGUUGACACAUGGUCACAUCAAGAUUCAAACUCCUACUACCUGGAACUUUGCUCCAUCUUGUGAACUCUACUACCUCUCCAUUUGUAACGUUGUUGUCGUAAAUUGUAAAAUAAUGUUAUAUAUUAAUCAAAAUAUGUUGUUUUAUUUAUAAAAAAUAAAUGCAAAGAUGUGUCUAGCUGUACUGACUUUUUAGACCUAUGCAAUAGACUCUUGCAACACUUGUCAACACCAAAACCCAUGUCGGUGUCCAUGUAACGAUGCAUCUGGGAGCAGCUUUACUGGUUCUAAUGUUAUUAUUAUUAUUUUUUAUCCUUUUUUUUUUCUUUUUGGGAAGUCUGCUGAUGAACUCAACUGAGUCUGCCAAUCCUGACUCAUUGGACCCUAGUAAAUCCUUGUUAUCCCACACUGAUCUAGAGUAAUACCUGGAAAUGAUUUCACUAGUGUACACAUGUUGAGGCUUUAAACACACUCGCUCCCUCGUAGAUGCGCAUGAGCAUGCGCGAGGUGAUUUCAAUGGUUUUGCGAGUAUAAUUACAAGUAGACAUCUCCAAGCAUUUGUUUCUCCUUUCUUUGUGUAGUUCAGCAGCAGGAUUUGAACUUAGGACAUGGUGUUACAAUCAUCAAUACGUUGGCCUAUUAAAUCCAAGCCUGAAUCCUUGGCUUUGCUCUCUCUCUCUCUCUCUCUGACAUUCAUGUCAUUUUUAUGUCAGUAACCGGGUGGUGGACCUGAUUGAGCACAUGGCACUGGUGGCAG
rnacentral:lncRNA from 1 species